GUCUAUGGCCAUACCACUCUGAACAUUGAUCUCAGAAGCUAAGGAGGGUCGGGCCUGGUUAGUACUUGGAUGGGAGACAACUUGUGAAUACUGGGUGCUGUAGGUA
rnacentral:rRNA from 1 species